AUGGGUAAUAGCCAGGAGCAAGCAGAGAGAAGACAGCGCCAACAUCACACUCACAGGCCACUGUGCACACCCAGGAGCAAGCAGAGAGAAGACAGCGCCAACAUCACACUCACAGGCCACUGUGCACACCCAGGAGCAAGCAGAGAGAAGACAGCACCAACAUCACACACUCACAGGCCACUACUCACACCCAGGAGCAAGCAGAGGGAAGACAGCACCAACAUCACACACUCACAGGCCACCACUCACACCCAGGAGCAAGCAGAGGGAAGACAGCGCCAACAUCACACACUCACAGGCCCACCACACACACCCAGGAGCAAGCAGAGAGAAGACAGCGCCAACAUCACACACUCACAGGCCCACCACACACACCCAGGAGCAAGCAGAGGGAAGACAGCACCAACAUCACAUACUCACAGGCCCACCACACACACCCAGGAGCAAGCAGAGGGAAGACAGCACCAACAUCACAUACUCACAGGCCACCACUCACACCCAGGAGCAAGCAGAGGGAAGACAGCACCAACAUCACACACUCACAGGCCACCACUCACACCCCAGGAGCAAGCAGAGGAAGACAGCGCCAACAUCACACACUCACAGGCCCACCACACACACCCAGGAGCAAGCAGAGAGAAGACAGCGCCAACAUCACACACUCACAGGCCACCACACACACCCAGGAGCAAGCAGAGGGAAGACAGCACCAACAUCACACACUCACAGGCCACCACACACACCCAGGAGCAAGCAGAGGGAAGACAGCACCAACAUCACACACUCACAGGCCACCACUCACACCCAGGAGCAAGCAGAGGGAAGACAGCACCAACAUCACACACUCACAGGCCACCACUCACACCCAGGAGCAAGCAGAGGGAAGACAGCGCCAACAUCACACACUCACAGGCCCACCACACACACCCAGGAGCAAGCAGAGAGAAGACAGCACCAACAUCACACACUCACAGGCCACCGCUCACACCCAGGAGCAAGCAGAGAGAAGACAGCACCAACAUCACACUCACAGGCCACCGCUCACACCCAGGAGCAAGCAGAGAGAAGACAGUACCAACAUCACACACUCACAGGCCCCCGCUCACACCCAGGAGCAAGCAGAGAAGACAGCACCAACAUCACACACUCACAGGCCACCACUCACACCCAGGAGCAAGCAGAGAGAAGACAGCACCAACAUCACACUCACAGGCCACCGUGCACACCCAGGAGCAAGCAGAGAGAAGACAGCACCAACAUCACACUCACAGGCCACCGUGCACACCCAGGAGCAAGCAGAGAGAAGACAGCGCCAACAUCACACACUCACAGGCCACCGCUCACACCCAGGAGCAAGCAGAGAGAAGACAGCACCAACAUCACACUCACAGGCCACCGUGCACACCCAGGAGCAAGCAGAGAGAAGACAGCGCCAACAUCACACUCACAGGCCACCGUGCACACCCAGGAGCAAGCAGAGAGAAGACAGCACCAACAUCACACACUCACAGGCCCACCGUGCACACCCAGGAGCAAGCAGAGAGAAGACAGCACCAACAUCACACACUCACAGGCCACCGCUCACACCCAGGAGCAAGCAGAGAGAAGACAGCACCAACAUCACACACUCACAGGCCACCGUGCACACCCAGGAGCAAGCAGAGAGAAGACAGCACCAACAUCACACACUCACAGGCCACCGCUCACACCCAGGAGCAAGCAGAGAGAAAACAGCGCCAACAUCACACACUCACAGGCCACCACACACACCCAGGAGCAAGCAGAGAGAAGACAGCACCAACAUCACACUCACAGGCCCACCACACACACCCAGGAGCAAGCAGAGAGAAGACAGCACCAACAUCACACUCACAGGCCACCGUGCACACCCAGGAGCAAGCAGAGAGAAGACAGCGCCAACAUCACACACUCACAGGCCACCGCUCACACCCAGGAGCAAGCAGAGAGAAGACAGCACCAACAUCACACUCACAGGCCACCGUGCACACCCAGGAGCAAGCAGAGAGAAGACAGCACCAACAUCACACACUCACAGGCCACCGCUCACACCCAGGAGCAAGCAGAGAGAAGACAGCACCAACAUCACACACUCACAGGCCACCGCUCACACCCAGGAGCAAGCAGAGAGAAGACAGCGCCAACAUCACACACUCACAGGCCACCACACACACCCAGGAGCAAGCAGAGAGAAGACAGCACCAACAUCACACACUCACAGGCCACCGCUCACACCCAGGAGCAAGCAGAGAGAAGACAGCACCAACAUCACACUCACAGGCCACCGUGCACACCCAGGAGCAAGCAGAGAGAAGACAGCGCCAACAUCACACACUCACAGGCCACUGCUCACACCCAGGAGCAAGCAGAGGGAAGACGGCGCCAACAUCACACACUCACAGGCCACUGCUCACACCCAGGAGCAAGCAGAGGGAAGACGGCGCCAACAUCACACACUCACAGGCCACCGCUCAUCGGUUCCCAAGUUCAGCCCACGCAGGAAAUGCUUUAAAAGUACUCCAAUGUAAAACUUCAGUCUGA
rnacentral:lncRNA from 1 species